CAGAGGUCUCAACCGUUGUUCGGAUUCAUUGGGCGUAAAGGGUGCGUAGGCGGCGGAGUAAGUCAGGUGUGAAAUCUCGGGGCUCAACCCCGAAAUGCACUUGAUACUGCUUCGCUCGAGUACUGGAGAGGAGACUGGAAUUUACGGUGUAGCAGUGAAAUGCGUAGAUAUCGUAAGGAAGACCAGUGGCGAAGGCGAGUCUCUGGACAGUUACUGACGCUGAGGCACGAAGGCCAGGGGAGCAAACGGGAUUAGAUACCCCGGUAGUCCUGGCAGUAAACGGUGCACGUUUGGUGUGGGAGGAUUCGACCCCUUCCGUGCCGGAGCUAACGCGUUAAACGUGCCGCCUGGGAAGUACGGUCGCAAGAUUA
rnacentral:rRNA from 1 species